AAACCAACAGGGAUUGCCCCAGUAGCGGCGAGUGAAGCGGCAAGAGCUCAGAUUUGAAAUCGUGUUUCGGCACGAGUUGUAGAGUGUAGGCGGGAGUCUCUGUGGAGCGCGGUGUCCAAGUCCCUUGGAACAGGGUGCCUGAGAGGGUGAGAGCCCCGUGGGGUGCUGCGCGAAGCUUUGAGGCCCUGCUGACGAGUCGAGUUGUUUGGGAAUGCAGCUCUAAGCGGGUGGUAAAUUCCAUCUAAGGCUAAAUAUUGGCGAGAGACCGAUAGCGAACAAGUACUGUGAAGGAAAGAUGAAAAGCACUUUGAAAAGAGAGUGAAACAGCACGUGAAAUUGUUGAAAGGGAAGGGUAUUGGGCCCGACAUGGGGAGUGCGCACCGCUGUCUCUUGUAGGCGGCGCUCUGGGCGCUCUCUGGGCCAGCAUCGGUUCUUGCUGCGAGAGAAGUGGCGCCGGAAAGUGGCUCUUCGGAGUGUUAUAGCCGGUGCCGGAUGUCGCGUGCGGGGACCGAGGGCUGCGACAUCUGUCUCGGAUGCUGGCACAACGGCGCAAUACCGC
rnacentral:rRNA from 2 species